rnacentral:lncRNA from 1 species
AGAAAGGGUGUGACUUAUCUAAUACUUUAUUUCCCAGGAUCCGCAACAUUUGGCACACAGGAGGAAUUGAACGAAUAGUUGUUGAAUGACUACUGAUUAACUAUAUCCUCUAAAAACAGAACAUUUCCCCUCUUGAAGCCUCAGCUCCGCAGGCCCUUCCAGGCCUGUACCAGCGGAUUGCCUGUGCCUCACUAGCUCCGCAGCUCUGAUCUGCCUGUGACCCAGCCCACCAACCUC